CUCUAACCUACGGAUUGUGGUUGAUCUGCGACCAAGACAGAGUGUGGUGACUCCCAUGGCACAACAUGCUCAUGGCAAGCUGUGGGAGGGUACAGAAACCACAAAAGUUGCUCACGAGGCACCUUACCCUAGAUCUGGAGGUCAGAAGAGGAGGAAACAAAGCAUUUCAUCAGCACCUGCAGGCAGAUGAGUGAUAAGUGAGGGACUGGAGAAUCACCUGGGGAGGGGCUGCCGAGGUUAGGG
rnacentral:lncRNA from 1 species